UACAGAGGUCUCAAGCGUUGUUCGGAUUCAUUGGGCGUAAAGAGCUCGUAGGCGGUGUGUCGCGUCGGCCGUGAAAACCUGGGGCUUAACUCUGGGCGUGCGGUCGAUACGGGCAUCACUAGAGUUCGGCAGGGGAGACUGGAAUUCCUGGUGUAGCGGUGAAAUGCGCAGAUAUCAGGAGGAACACCGGUGGCGAAGGCGGGUCUCUGGGCCGAUGACUGACGCUGGAGGAGCGAAAGCAUGGGUAGCGAACAGG
rnacentral:rRNA from 1 species